rnacentral:rRNA from 1 species
AGAGUUUGAUCCUGGCUCAGGAUGAACGCCGGCGGUGUGCCUAAUACAUGCAAGUCGUACGCACUGGCCCAACUGAUUGAUGGUGCUUGCACCUGAUUGACGAUGGAUCACCAGUGAGUGGCGGACGGGUGAGUAACACGUAGGUAACCUGCCCCGGAGCGGGGGAUAACAUUUGGAAACAGAUGCUAAUACCGCAUAACAACAAAAGCCACAUGGCUUUUGUUUGAAAGAUGGCUUUGGCUAUCACUCUGGGAUGGACCUGCGGUGCAUUAGCUAGUUGGUAAGGUAACGGCUUACCAAGGCGAUGAUGCAUAGCCGAGUUGAGAGACUGAUCGGCCACAAUGGAACUGAGACACGGUCCAUACUCCUACGGGAGGCAGCAGUAGGGAAUCUUCCACAAUGGGCGCAAGCCUGAUGGAGCAACACCGCGUGAGUGAAGAAGGGUUUCGGCUCGUAAAGCUCUGUUGUUGGAGAAGAACGUGCGUGAGAGUAACUGUUCACGCAGUGACGGUAUCCAACCAGAAAGUCACGGCUAACUACGUGCCAGCAGCCGCGGUAAUACGUAGGUGGCAAGCGUUAUCCGGAUUUAUUGGGCGUAAAGCGAGCGCAGGCGGUUGCUUAGGUCUGAUGUGAAAGCCUUCGGCUUAACCGAAGAAGUGCAUCGGAAACCGGGCAACUUGAGUGCAGAAGAGGACAGUGGAACUCCAUGUGUAGCGGUGGAAUGCGUAGAUAUAUGGAAGAACACCAGUGGCGAAGGCGGCUGUCUGGUCUGCAACUGACGCUGAGGCUCGAAAGCAUGGGUAGCGAACAGGAUUAGAUACCCUGGUAGUCCAUGCCGUAAACGAUGAGUGCUAGGUGUUGGAGGGUUUCCGCCCUUCAGUGCCGGAGCUAACGCAUUAAGCACUCCGCCUGGGGAGUACGACCGCAAGGUUGAAACUCAAAGGAAUUGACGGGGGCCCGCACAAGCGGUGGAGCAUGUGGUUUAAUUCGAAGCUACGCGAAGAACCUUACCAGGUCUUGACAUCUUGCGCUAACCUUAGAGAUAAGGCGUUCCCUUCGGGGACGCAAUGACAGGUGGUGCAUGGUCGUCGUCAGCUCGUGUCGUGAGAUGUUGGGUUAAGUCCCGCAACGAGCGCAACCCUUGUUACUAGUUGCCAGCAUUAAGUUGGGCACUCUAGUGAGACUGCCGGUGACAAACCGGAGGAAGGUGGGGACGACGUCAGAUCAUCAUGCCCCUUAUGACCUGGGCUACACACGUGCUACAAUGGACGGUACAACGAGUCGCAAGCUCGCGAGAGUAAGCUAAUCUCUUAAAGCCGUUCUCAGUUCGGACUGUAGGCUGCAACUCGCCUACACGAAGUCGGAAUCGCUAGUAAUCGCGGAUCAGCAUGCCGCGGUGAAUACGUUCCCUGGGCCUUGCACUCACCGCCCGUCA